GCCGUCUUGUCGCAGAAAUGGGAAUGCACCAGCUUUGAAUACUGGCGUCCGCAAGGGCAUGGGGGUUCGAAUCCCUCAGACGGCG
rnacentral:tRNA from 1 species